UACGGAGGGAGCUAGCGUUAUUCGGAAUUACUGGGCGUAAAGGGCUCGUAGGCGGCCAACUAAGUCAGACGUGAAAUCCCUCGGCUUAACCGGGGAACUGCGUCUGAUACUGGAUGGCUUGAGGUUGGGAGAGGGAUGCGGAAUUCCAGGUGUAGCGGUGAAAUGCGUAGAUAUCUGGAGGAACACCGGUGGCGAAGGCGGCAUCCUGGGACCAAUUCUGACGCUGAGGAGCGAAAGCCAGGGGAGCAAACGGG
rnacentral:rRNA from 1 species